rnacentral:ncRNA from 12 species
GGCUGCAACAACCCCGUGAGUGGUUUUUUCCUGGUUUUUGGAUUUUUUCCGGUUUCAGGGGAGAAAUCCAGACCAAAAAGGCGCAUUCACUGCAGCC